CCGUUUGCGUUAUCACGCGCGGGACAGCUGAGCGAGGCGGCGGACGAAGGGGGAGCGGCUGAUCUACACUAACGUACCGGCACAGGUGGGAGGAAAGCACUAGACGCUACCGGACAGUACAGGAGAGCCCGAUAGAAAACGAGGAGCAGCUCAACACAACCCCGCAUCAUGCAGGAGGGUCUAGGGAGAGCCUCGAAGUAAACUUGGGUAGCCCAGUCAAUCAACGAAGCAGACGCACUCCGAAAUUCACGCGACAUUCUUGGACAGGCUCAGACGAGGACGACGAUCAAACUCCGCAUGUAGCCGGACAAGCAAUGCCUGCUUCCAGCGACAUGUCACGCAAGACGAAAAAAGAAGAGUCGGAUACAAUUCUUCGGAUUCCGAUUCGGAUUGGAAUUUCGGAUUCGGAAGAAAGAAGAGAGCGGCAGUAAGAAGAUAGCGCAAGCAUUUGUCCGGCUAAAUCAUCUUGGCCUUUGUCUGGGAAAGGAUGGAACGAGAUCUGCAGUAAACCGAAUUAGAAAGUCAUUUGACAACGACAUUCUUCGCUGCAAAGAUCAUGUUACAGCCGUUAUUGGCACAUGCCAAAAACCAGCCAGAAGAAGGUUAUUUGAUAUCAACGAUAAUGGUGCAGAUGAUGAUGACAUAAUGUACGACGUAUGCGUUUGAUUCGGAUACUGCAGACGAUUUAGAUG